GCCCCGAUGCUGGAAUUGGCAGACAGGCAUGCUUCAGGAGCAUGUGCCCGCAAGGGCGUGAGGGUUCAACUCCCCCUCGGGGCA
rnacentral:tRNA from 1 species